UUUCAUUCAGUGGUAGAGUGCUUGUCUAGCAUGUGCAAGGCCCUGGGUUCAAUCCCCAGCACUGAAAG
rnacentral:tRNA from 1 species